CCUUUUUUUUAGUGGGCGUGCCGCCGUGUCGCCGUGGAGUUCUCAUCCUCCGAUGCAAAAGGAAUUACGUAUGCACAGCAUUCAUCAGGCUCACAUGAUAUUGCAUGCCGCGCUAUUGUGAGGAUGCACUAGUGGAUUGGUGGUUGUGAAAAUUGUGAUAUUGGCAAGGGGGUAAUGUAUUCAUCUAGAAAAUAGUCUCCUGAGGGAUCCAACUUACGUGCCUUUGCAAAGAUUUAGUGUGCAACCAAAGAAACAUACUGCGGACAUUUUUCUGUGGAGGGACAAGAAAAUUACUGCCAGUGUGCUUGGGUUUGCCACUUCACUUUGGGUGCUUUUUGAGUUACUUCAGUACCAUUUGCUUACACUUGUUUGCAAUAUACUGAUCCUUGCAUUGGCAGUCCUUUUCCUUUGGUCCAAUGCAUCCACCUUCAUCAACAAGUCUCCACCCCAAAUCCAGAUGUCAUUCUGCCUGAGGACAUUGUCCUGGGUGUUGCUGCUGCACUCAGGACUGAAAUAAACAAAGCUCUUGAGAGUUUUCUGGAUAUUGCCUCUGGGAAGGAGUUGACGAAAUUCCUUGCUGUAUGUUAUCAUGUCCUUGUAGUAUAAUUCUCUCCAUUAUCUUGAGAGAAUCAGGUUGAUCACUACUUCCUGUGUAGUUCUUCAUUCAUUUGAGUGUCACCUCUUCUACAUUUUAAUACAAAAAUUGGCAUUGUAUUAACUGGGAAAAGGAGGUACAGACCAAGAAAACGAGAUAUUGACAUGUUGAGGUAGCACUUGCUCUGUCAUCAUGCAUCACUGAUAAAUAUUGUCUCCUCAAGAGUUUUGUCAACCAAAUCCUUGGCAACCGUGUCUCGGGGGAAUUUUAGCAAGCCUAACUCAAAUUUCAAAUAAUUUUCCUGAGGAGAGUACAGUGCAGAACUCCUAGGAUCAGCAGGCUAUACGAAACCUCGCAAAUUUCAAAAUUCCAGAGCAACUGAACCGAGCAAAAAACAAAUACAAUCAUCUAAAGGUUAAGUGUUCACCAACAUCUCUUGUAUUCAUUACUUUUGUAGAUUUAUCCUCUUCUUAUAUCUUUAUUCAUCAAAAUUUUCAUUUUCUAUCAUAUACUCUUAUUAAUUUUUUUUAAAAUAAUGUCGUUGUUAUUAUCUUCCAAAAUGAUGUCUGUUACGCCAUCAAUAUCUGUAAAGCUUUCUUAGCUAAAUUUAUUUAUUUUUGUACUUCCAUCCAAUUAAUGUAGCCUAUUUUUUAGGUCCGAGUUGUUCUACAAUUCUGGACCAUAGGAGUCCCGAUGCUGUGAAUGAGAUAAAAUAAUGAAUGCACAUUAAUUACUAACAUAGGUUAACAUAGGGUAAACUGAGCUCCAAAAAAGUUCAAAUUCAACCCAUCUCUGUUUUCUAAUGCUAGCUUUUUGAAUGGCCCAUCUUUGUUAGUUGUUAGCUGGCUCAUUAAUCUUUUCUUUGUAAUUUCCCUAUUGAUAAGUAAAGAAACAGAUAUGAUACUUUUUAGUUAAUAACAUAAUAUUGGUUCUCGAGGGGAUGACCUAGUUGCUAAGGGAUAGGAGUAACAACUUGGAGAUUCCAGGUUUGAAUCCCAGCUGCAACACUUGGUGCGCCCAUCUGUCUAGCCUUGGUGGGCAGUACUACGUUGUCAAUAUGUGCCAUGGACUCCAAUACUAGCUCUGUUUCCAUGCUUGUAGUAUGCUGUUGAAAUUUCUCCCAGGUUACCUCGUGACUUAUUUGAUGCCAGGAAGUUAGACUUUUGCAUAUGAGUUUAAUAAUUCCCCUUGUGGGAUGGACAGGUGUACCAGUUAAUUAGUUGGGGUGCAUGCAAGCUCUAGGGACACCAUUAGUAUCACUAAAAAAAUGAAUUGGGUACUGUAGAAUAUAUGCCCAACUAUGGGACAAAGGUUCAUACGUAGUUGUGAGUUGUGACAUAGUGAGACGGUAGUUAACUUGAUCCCCAUUAUGGAUAAAUUCCUUGAGGACUUGAAGUUACUGUCACUCUAUAUCAUUGUAUUAUGGACCAUCUUCUGUUUUCAGGUAUGGGAAACAAGAAAUUAUGGGUAAGUAGGUUAUAUGGGAGCCAUACAUUUUUCUAAAAAUUUCAGCUCUGCGACUUAAUGAGAUGUAGAGUGCAAAACAAUUUUUAGCUUCAUGUGGAACUUUCUCUAUAUGUUUUUUUUGCUAAGAAAUUGCUUCAUGGAUCUUUCUUGUGUCUUUGAAACUUGAAUAUGCCUUUCGUUGUGCGUCAAAAGCAGAAGUUUCCCUUUGAUUAUUCUACAAACUACAUAUAUAUUGAAGAUGUAUUUUUUACUUGAAGAAUUUGCACCACUCAACAGGAUUACAAGUUCUUUUCUUUACAAUUAUUAGUCUUUCUCUUCUUCUUUUCAUUUUAGGGGAAGUUUUGACAUCCUAGGUGUUCUGGAACUUACACCUGGGAUAUUCAAUAAUUGUAUCCGGGUUCAUCCUCCUUCCAGAGUUAGAUGUAAGGUAUAGGAGUUUUGAGGGCUAUUUCCUAAUACUCUUGAAUAUGAACUAGUUCCGCGUAAGGUUAUUUGGGCAAAGUCUAUUCAACAAUCAUUGUUUGGAUAAAGAAGACAUAUGACUGUAUUUCCUUGCAAGUGAGAGAGAAAGAUCAACUUUUGCCUUAUAUAUCUAUUCGAAAAUGGAUAAGGGUUGCAAAGUAUAACUGCACCCUUGCCCAGUAAUGUUUUUAGUAGAAAUUGAUUUGCAUUUCCCAUUUUAUGUAGGUCUGAGAUAUAUAUUGCUCUAGUGGAGUUUAUGUGUAUCAAAGAUUUGGUGAUGAGAAUGCUUAUAAAUGAUGUUGAACUGCUUAUGCUUCCAUCCAAUUUCUGUAUGCAAGUAUAAGCAGCUCAACAUCAUUUAUAAGCGUUCUCAUCACCAAAUUUUUGCUACGCAUGAACUUCACCAGAGCAAUAUAUAUCUCAGACCUAUAUAUAAUGGAAAAUGCAAAUCAAUUUCUAGUACAAACAUUUUCGGGCAAGGGCGCACUUCUACUUUGCAACCCUUACUCCUUUACAGAUGGAUAUUUAAGGUAGAAGCUAACAUUUCUCUCCCACUUGCAAAGAAAUACAGUCCUAUAUCUUCUUUACCCGAACAAUGGUUGUUGAAUAGACUAGCCCAGAUAUCCCCACGCGGAACUAGUUCAAAUUUAAGAGUAUGAGGCAAUACCCCUAAGAACUCAUACACCUUACGUCUAACUCUGGAAGGAGGAUGAGCGUGGAUACAAUUAUUGAGCAUCCUAAGUGCAAAUUCCAGAGUACCUGAGAUGUCAAAACUUCCCCUAAAAUACAAGGAGAGACUAUUAUUAAUUAUAGAGAAGAGAACUUGUAUUCUUGUUUAAUGCUGCCAGUCCCUCAAAUUAAAGUAAGAUCAUCAAUAUAUAUGUAGUUUGUAGAAUAAUCAAAGGUGUUAACUCCUAUACCUUUACCACUAGGCCAUCUCCUCGGGGAACAGCAUUAUGUUGUUAACCAAAAAAUUAAUAUAAAUUUAUUCAUACUUAUCAAUAGGGAGAUUACAAAGAAGAGGAGGUUAAUCAGUUAGCGGACUACUAGCAAAGAUGAGCUGAAUUUGAAUUAUUAAUAAAUGUACAUGAUGAAGUGUAUAACUUACUUCCAGGAAUGAGCUAGAGUAGGAUCACAAAGGUGUCAUAAGUGAGUUCAUCAUUCCACUCGCUUUCAUGGCAUUGAGAAUCCUAUGCUCCAGAAUGGUAGAACUACCAGGACCUAACAAGCAGGCUACAUCAAUUGGAUGGAAGUACAGUAGUAAAUAAAAUUUGCUAGAAAAGAUUUGCAAGUGUUGAUGGUCUAAGGAGAUCAUUAUUUUGAAAGACAAUAUAUAUAUCAAUGACAUUAUAAAAUUAUAUGAUAGAAAAUCAAUUUUUUGAUGAAUGAACAUAUAAGAAAAGUAUAUAUUUGAACAAGUAAUGAAUACAAGAAAUGUUGGUGAAAAUUAACCUUUAGAAGAUUAUACUUGUUUUAUGCUCAGUUUAGUUUUCUGAAAUUUGGGAAAUUGCGAGGUUUCAUAUAUCCUGCCGAUCCUAAAGAACGCUGCACUGUUCUCUUCUUAGGAAAGGCAUCUGAAAUCUAAGUUCUAGGUUUGCUUAAAUUCCCUCGAGUCUCAAUCGUCGUGGAUUUGGUUGACAGAACUCUUGAAGACACAGUUUUCUUCCGUGGACACCCAUAUUUCUUGAUGUCCGAUGAUAGACUGAGUGCUUCUUCAACAGAGUAGUCUGACAAAUCUUUGCUGAGGCAUGUAACUUGGAUCCCUCAGAGUAUGAAGAAAUAACCCUCUUGCCAGUUUCACAUAUUUCACAACACCAAUCCACUGGUGCAGCUACAGAAUAGCCAGCACGCAAUACCUGUAAAAAGAGAAAAAACUGUUUUUUUUUUUUAAAAUAAGGACUACCGACUACGUGUGCAUAUAAAAUACAGACAGUAUCAAGUUGAUCGAGUGUUACUAUGGUAGGAAUAGGGUGCUAUAUAAGAAGUACCAAGGCAGAUUUCAGAGAAUCUUAAAUGCUACCAAAUAUGUUGAGAAAGCUGGGUUUAGCAUGGCUGAGUUAAAUGAGAUGGAGCAUUUCUCAAUCAAGUAAAUUUAUGUGAAGCUCCGUCAGAAGGUUGAAUGGAGAAGAUUUGUGUGUAACAACUUGGGAUCACCUAGAUGUAUCUUUAUCUCGAGACUGGCUGCACUAUAUAAACUACACACUAGGGACAAAUUAUGUUAUCGUUUAUAUAUAAGCCAAAUUAUGUCCAAUCACCCUCUAAUUUGUUUUCUUUUUUCACUUUUGAUCUAAUCUAAAUUAGCUCUUUUUGUCUUUAA